rnacentral:tRNA from 1 species
GGGUCGAUGCCCGAGUGGUUAAUGGGGACGGACUGUAAAUUCGUUGACAAUGUCUAC